UCACUUGGGAAUUAUUUGUAUUUAGGUGGAGAGGUUUAUCAUCUAAGAACCACCUGAAGGUUGAAGAUUAACUCUUGCUCAUACUAACCAUGAACACUCAGUGGGUCUUCUGGUUAUUUUAAGAUCUCCAUGUAAUCCUGUAAGUUCCUAUGCUUCAAGAACCCAGAAGCUUUCCUCUUUCUUCUUCUUUUUCUUCUUCUACAUUAAGGUCAGUGAGUUCCCAGACUAAAAGGCUUGUCCUAUCCUAGUCCAAUCCUAGCUAUACUAUCCAUACAUUUUUGAUAGAAGGAGGCUGAGGGGAGAACCCACUGCUCUCCACAACUACCUGAAAGGAGGUCGCAAUGAAGGUGUCUGGCUCUUUUCUCAGGUGACAAGUGGUAGGACACGAGGAAACCAUUUACAGGUGCACUAAGGGAGGCUUAGAUUGGAUAUCAGCAAGGAUUUUAUCAUAGAAAAGGUGGUUAGGCAUUGGAAUGGGCUGCCUGGAGGUAUUUAAGAGAUACGUGGAUGUGGUACUGAGGAAUGUGUCUUAGUGGUGUACUUGGUAGAGAUAUGUGAUGGUGGGAUUUGAGCUUAAGGUUCUUUUCCAACCUAAAUGAUGCUAUGAUUUUGGAAACAUCUUCUCUUAGCCUUUGAAGUAGCCUAUGGACUCAUGUAUAAUGCGAUAUGGGUUCCCAGUAGCUUCACUGACUCACAAGCUUGGCAAGAACAGUGACAUAAGCUAUUAUCUCCUCUCAAACAAGCCCGAAGGGGAUGCCUCCUCCCUGGAACAACACAGUGACUGCAGGAAUCCAUUUCCCUACAGGAAAGCAGGUGUAGGACUUCUCUGCAGCCAUGCUAUGUGUGUCUCUGUGUGUGAAAGAAGCCAUCUGUGACUUCUUUUGUCUGUUUUUCUAAGUGGUGGUUGCGCGUCACAUUUCUUAUUUAGGUUAGGAAAUAAAACACCCUCAACCACUCAUACCUAAAUCGUGAUUUUGAUAUUUCCUUCACAAAUACAAGACUGAAAACUUGCUUUUUAAGCUUCAAAUACAGCAUUUACACUGCUACCGGAGGUAGACAGCAGGCACUGGGAUCUAAUAUCUACGUUUAAUCCCACUCCAGAUAAAUUUAGCUCUUGGUGGCUUCAAAAACUUUAGAAUGCAUUAUACAAAUCAGAUAUAUUUUCUAUCAUGUUAUUUGGUAGGCUAACAGUAAAAUAGUGAGAUAGACGUUGUAUUUUCAAAAUUGACACGCUUCUGACAGCUUCUAAUGGACUUAAUGGGAGCUGUUGAUUCUAACUACACAUAUGAAAACAUAUUUAGAUACUGAAAUAUGGACAUAAGAUACUAAUUUCAGAUUUCCAUUAGAAAACUGUCGUAUUUUUAAGGAUCUAUAGUAUGACUGUACAAUCAGCUUCCAGCAUACCAAAGAACUUCCAUGCCGAGAUUAAAAACUGGCCUUUGCAUGUGGCACAUCCUAUUGUGAGAAUGAAAAUUCACUUGAAAAUAUUCCUAUUUACUUUCUCAAUACAUAAGCUCAGAAUCAUUCUUCCUAAUAAACUUCAUACAUGC
rnacentral:lncRNA from 1 species